rnacentral:rRNA from 1 species
AAUCUUCCUAUCGGUACGGAAUAGCUCAGGGAAACUUGGGGUAAUACCGCAUACGCCCUUCGGGGGAAAGAUUUAUCGCCGAUAGAUGAGCCCGCGUCUGAUUAGCUAGUUGGUGAGGUAAUGGCUCACCAAGGCGACGAUCAGUAGCUGGUCUGAGAGGAUGACCAGCCACACUGGGACUGAGACACGGCCCAGACUCCUACGGGAGGCAGCAGUGGGGAAUAUUGGACAAUGGGCGCAAGCCUGAUCCAGCCAUGCCGCGUGAGUGACGAAGGUCUUCGGAUUGUAAAGCUCUUUUGCCAGGGACGAUAAUGACGGUACCUGGAGAAUAAGCCCCGGCUAACUUCGUGCCAGCAGCCGCGGUAAUACGAAGGGGGCUAGCGUUGUUCGGAAUUACUGGGCGUAAAGCGCACGUAGGCGGAUAUGUAAGUCAGGGGUGAAAUCCCGGGGCUCAACCUCGGAACUGCCUUUGAUACUGCAAGUCUUGAGUCCGGAAGAGGUGAGUGGAAUUCCUAGUGUAGAGGUGAAAUUCGUAGAUAUUAGGAAGAACACCAGUGGCGAAGGCGGCUCACUGGUCCGGUACUGACGCUGAGGUGCGAAAGCGUGGGGAGNCAACAGGAUUAGAUACCCUGGUAGUCCACGCCGUAAACUAUGGAUGCUAGC